rnacentral:rRNA from 1 species
AAUAUUGGACAAUGGGGGCAAGCCUGAUCCAGCCAUACCGCGUGGGUGAAGAAGGCCUUCGGGUUGUAAAGCCCUUUUGUUGGGGAAGAAAAGCAUCCGGUUAAUACCCGGGGGUGAUGACGGUACCCAAAGAAUAAGCACCGGCUAACUUCGUGCCAGCAGCCGCGGUAAUACGAAGGGUGCAAGCGUUACUCGGAAUUACUGGGCGUAAAGCGUGCGUAGGGGGUGAGUUUAAGUCUGAUGUGAAAUCCCCGGGCUCAACCUGGGAAUGGCAUUGGAAACUGGAUCGACUAGAGUGUGGUAGAGGGGGGUGGAAUUCCCGGUGUAGCGGUGAAAUGCGUAGAGAUCGGGAGGAACACCCGUGGGGAAGGCGGCUACCUGGACCAACACUGACACUGAGGCACGAAAGCGUGGGGAGCAAACAGGAUUAGAUACCCUGGUAGUCCACGCCCUAAACGAUGCGAACUGGAUGUUGGGUGCAACUUGGCACUCAGUAUCGAAGCUAACGCGUUAAGUCU